rnacentral:precursor_RNA from 1 species
CACGUCACCUGAUAUCAGGUAUUUACUCUGAACUAGCUCUGUGGAUCCUGACAGACAGCCUGAUAGACAGGAUCCACAGAGCUAGUCCAGAGUAAAAGACCUAAAUCAGCUGUGGUUGU